AGAAACUUAGGAUAGCCCCUUAAACCGAAGGCCUUCAAAGCCUUAAACAAGAGUUAAACCCUCUUAGUUUCUG
rnacentral:tRNA from 1 species